GUAGAGGAGGCAGGUAGCCUAGUGGUUAGAGUGUAGAGGAGGCAGGUAGCCUAGUGGUUAGAGUGUAGAGGGGGCAGGUAGCCUAGUGGUUAGAGUGUAGAGGGGGCAGGUAGCCUAGUGGUUAGAGUGUAGAGGGGGCAGGUAGCCUAGUGGUUAGAGUGUGGAGGCGGCAGGUAGCCUAGUGGUUAGAGUGUGGAGGCGGCAGGUAGCCUAGUGGUUAGAGUGUAGGGGUGGCAGGUAGCCUAGUGGUUAGACUGUAGACGGUGCAGGUAGCCUAGUGGUUAGAGCAGGUAGCCUAGUGGUUAGAGUGUAGAGGGGGCAGGUAGCCUAGUGGUUAGAGUGUAGAGGCGGCAGGUAGCCUAGUGGUUAGAGUGUAGAGG
ensembl:lncRNA